rnacentral:rRNA from 1 species
GUUUGAUCAUGGCUCAGAUUGAACGCUGGCGGCAGGCCUAACACAUGCAAGUCGAACGGUAACAGGAAGCAGCUUGCUGCUUCGCUGACGAGUGGCGGACGGGUGAGUAAUGUCUGGGAAGCUGCCUGAUGGAGGGGGAUAACUACUGGAAACGGUAGCUAAUACCGCAUAAUGUCGCAAGACCAAAGAGGGGGACCUUCGGGCCUCUUGCCAUCGGAUGUGCCCAGAUGGGAUUAGCUUGUUGGUGGGGUAACGGCUCACCAAGGCGACGAUCCCUAGCUGGUCUGAGAGGAUGACCAGCCACACUGGAACUGAGACACGGUCCAGACUCCUACGGGAGGCAGCAGUGGGGAAUAUUGCACAAUGGGCGCAAGCCUGAUGCAGCCAUGCCGCGUGUAUGAAGAAGGCCUUCGGGUUGUAAAGUACUUUCAGCGGGGAGGAAGGGAGUAAAGUUAAUACCUUUGCUCAUUGACGUUACCCGCAGAAGAAGCACCGGCUAACUCCGUGCCAGCAGCCGCGGUAAUACGGAGGGUGCAAGCGUUAAUCGGAAUUACUGGGCGUAAAGCGCACGCAGGCGGUUUGUUAAGUCAGAUGUGAAAUCCCCGGGCUCAACCUGGGAACUGCAUCUGAUACUGGCAAGCUUGAGUCUCGUAGAGGGGGGUAGAAUUCCAGGUGUAGCGGUGAAAUGCGUAGAGAUCUGGAGGAAUACCGGUGGCGAAGGCGGCCCCCUGGACGAAGACUGACGCUCAGGUGCGAAAGCGUGGGGAGCAAACAGGAUUAGAUACCCUGGUAGUCCACGCCGUAAACGAUGUCGACUUGGAGGUUGUGCCCUUGAGGCGUGGCUUCCGGAGCUAACGCGUUAAGUCGACCGCCUGGGGAGUACGGCCGCAAGGUUAAAACUCAAAUGAAUUGACGGGGGCCCGCACAAGCGGUGGAGCAUGUGGUUUAAUUCGAUGCAACGCGAAGAACCUUACCUGGUCUUGACAUCCACGGAAGUUUUCAGAGAUGAGAAUGUGCCUUCGGGAACCGUGAGACAGGUGCUGCAUGGCUGUCGUCAGCUCGUGUUGUGAAAUGUUGGGUUAAGUCCCGCAACGAGCGCAACCCUUAUCCUUUGUUGCCAGCGGUCCGGCCGGGAACUCAAAGGAGACUGCCAGUGAUAAACUGGAGGAAGGUGGGGAUGACGUCAAGUCAUCAUGGCCCUUACGACCAGGGCUACACACGUGCUACAAUGGCGCAUACAAAGAGAAGCGACCUCGCGAGAGCAAGCGGACCUCAUAAAGUGCGUCGUAGUCCGGAUUGGAGUCUGCAACUCGACUCCAUGAAGUCGGAAUCGCUAGUAAUCGUGGAUCAGAAUGCCACGGUGAAUACGUUCCCGGGCCUUGUACACACCGCCCGUCACACCAUGGGAGUGGGUUGCAAAAGAAGUAGGUAGCUUAACCUUCGGGAGGGCGCUUACCACUUUGUGAUUCAUGACUGGGGUGAAGUCGAAACAAGGUA